AAGAGACAAAAAUGUUAAGGAGAGCAUGGGGAGUUAGAAUAUCAAGUUGGAUUCAAGAAAUAGAAGUUGGAGGAGAGAGAAAACCAAGUUAAAGAUUAGUAUCAAUAGAACAAGGUUAAGUACUUAACUUUUGAUUGCCGAUUCAGCAUCCAACAACGAUCUCGAUCUCAAAUGUAGUUAUGUUUAUCCUUUUGUAUCAGCAUGUACCUAGGGUGUCUAAAUGUUAGUUAUUUUGUGGAUGAAAUGUAUAUGAGGUUAUAAGUGUGAUGUUAGCUUAGUAUAAAUAUAUAUAUAUAACAUGUGCUUGUGUUAAAAGCCAUAGUAUAAUAUGGUAAAUGGAACAAAAGCUUGGCAUGUGCUUGUGAAUUUAAGUUAAUGUUUUAGGUAUAUAUAUGAGAUAGGCUAAUUUGAUGAAUUUUGGCAUGUUUAAAGUUUGGAUUUGAAUGAUGCUUUAAUGAUAUAAUUUGAUGAUAUAAUUGUGGUACCAAUAA